UUUAUUGAGUUUUCUUUUGCUUUUUGGCUCGAUUGAAGCCCUAAUUUGUUGUUAUUUCUGCUUUGGUUUUGAUUUCAAUGAUGGAUGUUUGAUUUGAGGAUUUGGAAAGGCAUAGCAAGUGUUUGAUGAAAUGUUAUUUAGGAGAUUUUGAAUAUUUUUUUUCGUGCAUGAGAAUCUUGUGAAUGAAGCACAACUUGAAAAAAAAGCAAACCCAGGGAGCUUCAAAAUAGAGUUAAUCAAAAGAGGCUAAAAUUACAGUCCACGGGGAAGGCGGAAGACGUGGCCGGAUUGUGUGGUGAUUUUUGAUAUUGAAAGGAAGAGUUUUGUGAUUUUGGAAGCUACCAGGUUGCAGAUUCCUAUUAUAGCGCUGGUGGACCUGAGUAUGCCGUUGGAGAGGUUUAAGAAGAUUACGUAUCCUGUUCGGGCGAAUGAUUCGGUGCAGUUUAUGUAUUUGUUUUGUAAUUUGAUUAUGAAAAACGAUCCAAUAUGAGCAGAAGAAGCUCGCUGCAGCUAAAGGGAACGUGGUUAAGGAAGUCGAGCCGAAAAUUGGUGAGGCGGCUUUACCGGCUGGUACGAUUAAGAUAGAUAGUGUAAAUGAUGAAUUGACGGUUCUAUCGUAUGAAGGGUUAUCUCCCGCUUUUGAUGGUAA